rnacentral:misc_RNA from 1 species
UUUGCAUUUAAUUUUAGAGGAAAAUGAGUUAAGAAAAAAAAAAGAAAAGAAGAAAAUUUAUUUUGUUUACAUGAUUAAAAAAAAAAAGAUUUUAUGACAAUGACAAAAAGUAGAUUUACUUUUAGAACUCCCAACUCUCCUCGAACAUUUAAAAAAAAAAUUCCCUGAACAUUUUAUUAAAAAAAUUCCUGGAACUUACAACAACACACAAAGACUAAAACGACAUCGUUUCAUUUGUAACUGUUCAAAGGUCUUGGCUCACCGUUAGAUUCCGGAAGGAGCCUAGUCAAGGAGUCAUGAGCAGAAAAACCACCACAAUUCUCUGCAAUCACAGGCUUCAAUUUCUCUUCUCUCUCAACCCCGGAAAGUCCCAUAUCAAACAGGUUAGUUCUGUCUUCUCUGUUAAAUCCCAUUGCUUCAGCACUACUUCUCUCACGGACCCUUCACUAUCAUCAACUUCUACUGCUCACCAAACAAACAAAACCCACAUAGAUUUAUCUCCUAUAAAUUGCAAUGGUAUCGCACAAUUUCUUAUAUUUAAAUGUCCCCAGUUCUUUGAUAAGGGCAAAAGCGAAAGAGAGAAUUUUGCUAAGGUUGCUUCUCUCAAAGAACUUCUUGUGGAUAUUUCUGAUCUAAUACCCGAUGUGACACGUCGCUUUAGGAGAAUUUUGAUAUUGAAACCUGAAGAUGUGCUUGAAAUAUUACUGGGUUUUCAAUUGGAGUGUGAAAGAGUUGCAAUUGAGGGUUCAAAGGUUGAGUCUUUGUGGAGGCUUUUCAAAUGGGCAAGUGACCAAGAUAAGUGUUUUAAGCAUCUUCCGAAGUCAUAUGAAGUUAUGGCCUCGGUGCUUUUUCAGUAUGGGAUGCUUAGAGAGCUUCAGUUGCUGCUUUUGGCAAUGGAGAGGCAAGGAAUUUUGUUAGAUAACAAUGAAAUCUUCUCUAAGUUGAUUGAAGGGUAUGUUGGUGCUUGUGAUUUAGAAAGGGCGGUGCUGGUGUAUGAUCGACUUAGGGAGCAAGGUUUGGUGCCAUCGCUGUUCUGUUAUCAUGUUCUUAUUGAUCUUUUGGUGAGAAUGAGGAGAACCCAACUGGCAUUUCGAGUUUGUUUGGAUAUGUUUGAAACUGGGAUUAAUCUGAGUGACGGGGAAAUGGUUACGAUUGAUAAAGUCGUUAGAUUACUUUGUGGGGAUGGAAUGGUUCAAGAAGCAAGGAAUCUUUUGAAGAAGGUCAUGGCUUUGGGGUUUGAGCCUAGCAGCUCGGUUAUUAAUAACAUUGCUUCUGGUUAUUGUGAGAAGAAGGAUUUUGAAGAUUUGCUUAGCUUUUUUGUUGCAUUGAAACGUUCACCAAAUGUACUGGCUGGCAAUAAGAUAAUAAAUGGUUUAUGUACUAAUUUUGGUGUAGAGAGAGCAAAUUUAUUCAGGCUAGAAUUGGAGAAUUUAGGUUUUAUGCCAGAUGAGGUAACUCUUGGGAUAAUGAUUGGUUGGAGCUGUCGUGAGGGGAAUUUGAGGAGUGCCUUCAUUUAUUUGUCAGAAAUGUUAUCAACAGGCUUAGAGCCUGUUAUAUGGUCAUAUAAUGCGCUUAUUGGUGCAGUGUUUAGGGAGGGUAUGUGGAAGCAUGCUCAAGAUAUUCUUGUUGAAAUGGUAGACAGGGGAAUGACCCCAAAUUUGUCAACUUUUAGAACCCUUUUGGCAGGAUAUUGCAAAGCAAGACAAUUCGAUGAAGUGAAGAUGAUGGUCCACAAGAUGGUAGACCAUGGUUUAAUUGAACUCUCUUUGCUGGAUAACCCACUCUCCAAGGCAUUUAUGGUUUUGGGGCUCAAUCCAUUAUCUGUGAGGUUGAAAAGGGAUAAUGAUGUUGGGUUUUCUAAGACAGAAUUCUAUGAUAAUCUAGGAAAUGGACUGUAUUUGGAUGCUAACCUGAAUGAGUAUGAGAAAAGAGUAAAUGAAAUUCUUAAGGAUUCCAUGAUACCGGAUUUUAAUUUGCUUGUAAUGAAGGAAAGUGAUCAUGGAAAUUUUAAAGCCGCAUUGUUGUUGAUAGAUGAAAUGGUUCGAUGGGGUCAAGAACUAUCUCUGUCUGUCUUCUCUGCAUUAGUGAAGGGGCUUUCUGCAUCCCGAUCCCAUAUCAGGGCUUGCAGCCGUCUUAUUGAGAAAAUGCCAAUGUUGGCUAAGCAACUAGAUGAUGUAGUUCUUAAUUUGCUUGUCCGAGCAUACUGUAAGGGUGGAUUGACUUACAAAGGGAGGAUAUUUUUUGAUGAAAUGCUUCUGAGGGAUAUACCAAUUGAAAAUGGCACAUACACUGCUUUAUUGGUGGGACUAUGUAAGAGAGGAAAUUAUCAGGAUUUUCAUUAUUGCUGGGAGAUUGCCCGAAAUAGAAAAUGGUUGCCUGGGUUACAGGAUUCUAAAUCUCUUGUUGAAUGUCUAUUCCAUCGUAGGAUACUGAAGGAAGCGUUGGAGCUUCUUGAAAGCAUGAUGCUAUUUCAUCCUCACUUGAGGUCUGAAAUUUAUCAUAUGUUCCUUGAAAAGCUUUCCAUCACAGGCUUUACGAGCAUUGCACACAAGUUGGUGGAUGAACUGAUACAGCAGGGUUGUAUCUUUGAUGAUAUUGCUUAUAACCAUCUUAUAAGAGGGCUAUGCAAGGAGAGAAACUAUAGAGUGGCCUUCACGAUAUUAGAAACAAUGUUGGCUAGGAACUUAGUUCCAUGCUUGGAUGUUUCUCUUAUUUUGAUUCCGCAGUUGUGUAGGGCUGAUAAACUUGAUAAAGCGAUUGCUUUAAGAGAGAUUGUUUUGAGAGAGCAAUGUGCAUUUACGUUUUCCAUCCAUUGUGCUUUAGUUAAAGGAUUUUGUAUGACAGGGAAUGUUGGAGAAGCAGCCAAUGUAGUCCAGGAUAUGUUGUUGAAGGGGCUAUUUCCUGAUGCUGAAAUUUAUAACAUGCUAUUUCAAGGGUAUUGCCAAGCUAACAGCCUGAGGAACGUUAGGGAGCUACUUGGUGUUCUAAUUAGAAAAUUUUUAAGCCCCUCAAUCACAAGUUACCAGAAUUUGGUGCGCUUGAUGUGUAUGCAGGGUAGUUUCACUUCUGCAUUAAGCCUGAAGGAGCUAAUGCUAGGACACAGUAGGUACCAUAGUCUCAUCAUUUACAACAUUCUGGUUUUCUAUCUUUUUUCAGCUGGGAACAGCUUGCUCGUGGAUAAAGUUCUAAAUGAAUUGCAGGAGAAGGGAUUACUUCUUGAUGAAGUUACUUAUAAUUUUCUUGUAUAUGGGUUUUCGGAGUGUAAAGAUGUGUCUAGUUGUGUACAUUAUCUGUCUACUAUGAUUUCAAAGGGAUUUAGGCCAAGCUAUCGCAGCUUAAGAGCAGCAGUAACCUGCCUGUGUGAUCUUGGUGAAUUUAGUAGAGCCUUGGAGUUGAGUCGAGAAAUGGAAGUGAGAAAUUGGGUUCAUGGAUCAGUUGUUCAAAAUGUAAUUGUUGAAGGCCUUCUUUCUCUUGAUAAGCUUCAAGAAGCUAAAUGUUUUCUUGCCCAGAUGGUAGAUAAAGGUCUAAUUCCUGAUUCAAUCAAUUAUGAUAAUCUAAUUAAGCGGUUUUGUUUUUUGGGAAGACUGAGGAAGGCAGUUGAGCUUCUGAACAUAAUGUUGAAGAAAGGAAAUAUUCCUAAUUCUGCCAGUUAUGAUUCUGUAAUCCAUGGUCUCUGCAUAAAGAAUCAACUGAAUGAAGCACUGGAUUUUCACGCUGAGAUGUUGGAUAGGGAUCUUAAACCAAGUUUGAAGACAUGGGACAUGCUUAUCCACAAACUUUGCCAACUUGGACAAACUGCAGAAGCAGAAAACCUCCUCAUUUCUAUGGUUCAGUUGGGUGAAACUCCAACGAGACUAAUGUACUCCUCUGUAAUCAAUGGGUAUCGUGUUGAAAACACUCCGCGGAAGGCAUCUGAGCUCAUGCAAAUGAUGCAACAGAGUGGUUAUGAGCCAGAUUUUGACACUCACUGGUCUCUCAUAAGCAAUUUACAGAAGUCCAAAGACAAGUAUAGUAGUAACAGCAGUCAAGGUUUCCUGUCGAGACUUCUUUCUGGAAGUGGACUUUCUUAUGGAACUAGUAGUGACUCCAAGGUCAAGAUGGGGUAAUACAGAUAUAGUGCGAUAAAGAUAGGGCUUUUUAGCUUUCAUUAAUUGAUCUGUUACAUAACAUUUUCACUAACAUUUUAGAUGUAUUACAGUGUUGGCAGUUUCAGAACCAUGAUAAACGCCAAUUCUUUUGUACCAUCACAUGUAUAUGGCUGAAGUUUGUAACAGAAGUGAAGUUUAUUUUAGAAACUAGUCACUUGGGUUUUUAAAAUUUUCAAAUUAUUAUUGUAUAAAAUUAUGGAGUGUCAUUUUAUUUUUAUUAUAUUUUUAUUUCUUUUAUGUUUAUUGAUCCCACAAAAUUAUUAACACAUGAAAAGACUGGAAAAAGUAACAUUAGUUAAAUAGCGGUAGCUAUUAUUUGAGAAAAUUAUCCAAACAAUGAAUAGCACUUUAGUCUGAUAUUAAAAAUUUUUUAUAUAAUUUUUCACUAUUGAAUUGUUUUUCAAAUGAUACAUAAAUAGAAUGGGUGAGCAUGCACAUAAAAGACAGUUGAGCUAUUUCCAUUUUUUGUUGUCAAGGAGAUUCUUAGAGAAAAUGGAUGUGGUACACAUAAGAGACAUUGAGCUUUUUUUUAUCCCACUUUAGUAAGAUGUUAUGUUAAUUUUAGGAAA